rnacentral:rRNA from 1 species
AACGAACGCUGGCGGCAUGCCUAACACAUGCAAGUCGAACGAGACCUUCGGGUCUAGUGGCGCACGGGUGCGUAACGCGUGGGAACCUGCCCUUAGGUUCGGAAUAACUCCCCGAAAGGGGUGCUAAUACCGGAUAAUGUCUUCGGACCAAAGAUUUAUCGCCUUUGGAUGGGCCCGCGUUGGAUUAGCUAGUUGGUAGGGUAAAAGCCUACUAAGGCGACGAUCCAUAGCUGGUCUGAGAGGAUGAUCAGCCACACUGGGACUGAGACACGGCCCAGACUCCUACGGGAGGCAGCAGUGGGGAAUAUUGGACAAUGGGCGAAAGCCUGAUCCAGCAAUGCCGCGUGAGUGAUGAAGGCCUUAGGGUUGUAAAGCUCUUUUACCCGGGAUGAUAAUGACAGUACCGGGAGAAUAAGCGCCGGCUAACUCCGUG